rnacentral:rRNA from 1 species
UAGAUGCGAGAGUAGAGCAUAUCAAUAAGCGGAGGAAAAGAAACUAACAAGGAUUCCCUUAGUAACGGCGAGUGAAGCGGGAAGAGCUCAAAUUUGAAAUCUUCAAGGUUCUACCUUGACGAAUUGUAGUUUAUAGAAGUGUUUUCUGUUAGUGGAGUGGCAAAAGUUCUUUGGAAUAGGACAUCAUAGAGGGUGAGAAUCCCGUAUUUGAUCAGUUAUUUCCAGCUGUGUGAUACACUUUCAAAGAGUCGGAUUGUUUGGGAAUGCAGUCCAAAAUGGGUGGUAAAUUUCAUCUAAAGCUAAAUAUUGGCGAGAGACCGAUAGCGAACAAGUACCGUGAGGGAAAGAUGAAAAGAACUUUGAAAAGAGAGUUAAACAGUACGUGAAAUUGUCAAAGGGAAGCGUUUGACACCAGUGUUGUUUUUCCGAAAAUCAAUUACGAAUGUUUUGUUUUUAAGAAGUUAUGACUUCAUCGGCUUGCUUCUUUCUUUACGAAACUUUCUUAAUGCACUUUUCGGUUAACAAGUCAACAUCAAUUUCUUUUGUUGUAAAAGGGUACGAGGAAGGUGGCUUUCUUUUCGGAGGAAGUGUUUAUAGCCUUGUACCUCUGCAAUCGGAGAGAUUGAGGUCUGCAGCGUAGAUCCUUCGGGGUUAGAUACAUUUGUGCUAAGUUAUAGCUUUUCAUAGACAACUUGUUGACUAUGUUAAGUCUUGUAGCUUACUCGCUUAUGCUAUUUUACCUACGCUUAGGAUGUUGACACACGCGCGUGCUCG